UGCCCUGCUUCCAGGAAAAGCCUCUAAGCCUCAGGUAACAUCAGAUCGUACCCGAAACCGACACAGGUGGUCAGGUAGAGAAUACCAAGGCGCUUGAGAGAACCCGGGUGAAGGAACUAGGCAAAAUGGUGCCGUAACUUCGGGAGAAGGCACGCUGACACGUAGGUGAAGCGGUUUACCCGUGGAGCUGAAGUCAGUCGAAGAUACCAGCUGGCUGCAACUGUUUAUUAAAAACACAGCACUGUGCAAACACGAAAGUGGACGUAUACGGUGUGACGCCUGCCCGGUGCCGGAAGGUUAAUUGAUGGGGUCAGCGCAAGCGAAGCUCCUGAUCGAAGCCCCGGUAAACGGCGGCCGUAACUAUAACGGUCCUAAGGUAGCGAAAUUCCUUGUCGGGUAAGUUCCGACCUGCACGAAUGGCGUAAUGAUGGCCAGGCUGUCUCCACCCGGGACUCAGUGAAAUUGAACUCGCUGUGAAGAUGCAGUGUACCCGCGGCAAGACGGAAAGACCCCGUGAACCUUUACUAUAGCUUGACACUGAACACUGGUCCUUGAUGUGCAGGAUAGGUGGGAGGCUUUGAAGUGUGGACGCCAGUCUGCAUGGAGCCGUCCUUGAAAUACCACCCUUUAAUGGCUGGUGUUCUAACGUAGACCCGUGAACCGGGUUGCGGACAGUGUCUGGUGGGUAGUUUGACUGGGGCGGUCUCCUCCUAAAGCGUAACGGAGGAGCACGAAGGUUGGCUAAUCCUGGUCGGACAUCAGGAGGUUAGUGCAAUGGCAUAAGCCAGCUUGACUGCGAGCGUGACGGCGCGAGCAGGUGCGAAAGCAGGUCAUAGUGAUCCGGUGGUUCUGAAUGGAAGGGCCAUCGCUCAACGGAUAAAAGGUACUCCGGGGAUAACAGGCUGAUACCGCCCAAGAGUUCAUAUCGACGGCGGUGUUUGGCACCUCGAUGUCGGCUCAUCACAUCCUGGGGCUGAAGUAGGUCCCAAGGGUAUGGCUGUUCGCCAUUUAAAGUGGUACGCGAGCUGGGUUUAGAACGUCGUGAGACAGUUCGGUCCCUAUCUGCCGUGGGCGCUGGAGAACUGAGGGGGGCUGCUCCUAGUACGAGAGGACCGGAGUGGACGCAUCACUGGUGUUCGGGUUGUCAUGCCAAUGGCACUGCCCGGUAGCUAAAUGCGGAAGAGAUAAGUGCUGAAAGCAUCUAAGCACGAAACUUGCCCCGAGAUGAGUUCUCCCUGAGACUUUAGUCUCCUGAAGGAACGUUGAAGACGACGACGUUGAUAGGCCGGGUGUGUAAGCGCAGCGAUGCGUUGAGCUAACCGGUACUAAUGAACCGUGAGGCUUAACCUUACAACGCCGAAGGUGUUU
rnacentral:rRNA from 1 species